rnacentral:rRNA from 1 species
ACUCCUACGGGAGGCAGCAGUGGGGAAUCUUAGACAAUGGGGGCAACCCUGAUUUAGCCAUGCCGCGUGAGUGAUGAAGGCCCUAGGGUUGUAAAGCUCUUUCAGCUGGGAAGAUAAUGACGG